GCCCAGAUGGGAUUAGCUUGUUGGUGAGGUAACGGCUCACCAAGGCGACGAUCCCUAGCUGGUCUGAGAGGAUGACCAGCCACACUGGAACUGAGACACGGUCCAGACUCCUACGGGAGGCAGCAGUGGGGAAUAUUGCACAAUGGGCGCAAGCCUGAUGCAGCCAUGCCGCGUGUAUGAAGAAGGCCUUCGGGUUGUAAAGUACUUUCAGCGGGGAGGAAGGUGUUGUGGUUAAUAACCGCAGCAAUUGACGUUACCCGCAGAAGAAGCACCGGCUAACUCCGUGCCAGCAGCCGCGGUAAUACGGAGGGUGCAAGCGUUAAUCGGAAUUACUGGGCGUAAAGCGCACGCAGGCGGUCUGUCAAGUCGGAUGUGAAAUCCCCGGGCUCAACCUGGGAACUGCAUUCGAAACUGGCAGGCUUGAGUCUUGUAGAGGGGGGUAGAAUUCCAGGUGUAGCGGUGAAAUGCGUAGAGAUCUGGAGGAAUACCGGUGGCGAAGGCGGCCCCCUGGACAAAGACUGACGCUCAGGUGCGAAAG
rnacentral:rRNA from 1 species